CCCUUAGAUGUUCUGGGCCGCACGCGAGCUACACUGAUGCAUUCAACGAGUCUAAAACCUGGUCUGAUAGGGCUGGGUAAUCUUUUGAAUGUGCAUCGUGAUUGGGAUAGAUGAUUGCAAUUCUUCAUCUUCAACGAGGAAUGCCUAGUAAACGCAAGUCAUCAGCUUGCAUUGAUUACGUCCCUGCCCUUUGUACACACCGCCCGUCGCUCCUACCGAUUGAAUGUUCCGAUGAAUACCAUGGACUGAGAGUAUGAAUGGGUUCGCCUAUUUCUGCUUCUCGGGAAGUGGAGUAAAUCUUAACAUUUAGAGGAAGGAGAAGUCGUAACA
rnacentral:rRNA from 1 species